AGAAUCAACGCUGGCGGCGUGCCUCAGACAUGCAAGUCGAACGAUUAAAGCUCCCUUCGGGGAGUGCAUAAAGUGGCGCACGGGUGAGUAACACGUAAGUAAUCUACCCUCGGGUGGGGAAUAACGUUCGGAAACGGACGCUAAUACCGCAUAAUGCAGCGGCACCGCAAGGUGACAGUUGUUAAAGAUUUAUUGCCUGGGGAGGAGCUUGCGGCAGAUUAGCUUGUUGGUAAGGUAACGGCUUACCAAGGCUACGAUCUGUAUCCGGUCUAAGAGGACGGUCGGACACACUGACACUGAAUAACGGGUCAAACUCCUACGGGAGGCAGCAGUCGGAAUUUGGGCAAUGGGGGAAACCUGACCCAGCAACGCCGCGUGAAGGAUGAAGUAUUUCGGUAUGUAAACUUCGAAAGAAUAGGAAGAAUUAAUGACGUACUAUUUAUAAGGUCCGGACUAACUACGUGACCUAGCAGCCGAC
rnacentral:rRNA from 1 species